rnacentral:rRNA from 1 species
GAGAGUUUGAUCCUGGCUCAGAUUGAACGCUGGCGGCAGGCCUAACACAUGCAAGUCGAGCGGUAGCACAGAGAGCUUGCUCUCGGGUGACGAGCGGCGGACGGGUGAGUAAUGUCUGGGAAACUGCCUGAUGGAGGGGGAUAACUACUGGAAACGGUAGCUAAUACCGCAUAACGUCGCAAGACCAAAGUGGGGGACCUUCGGGCCUCAUGCCAUCAGAUGUGCCCAGAUGGGAUUAGCUAGUAGGUGGGGUAAUGGCUCACCUAGGCGACGAUCCCUAGCUGGUCUGAGAGGAUGACCAGCCACACUGGAACUGAGACACGGUCCAGACUCCUACGGGAGGCAGCAGUGGGGAAUAUUGCACAAUGGGCGCAAGCCUGAUGCAGCCAUGCCGCGUGUAUGAAGAAGGCCUUCGGGUUGUAAAGUACUUUCAGCGAGGAGGAAGGCGUUAAGGUUAAUAACCUUAGCGAUUGACGUUACUCGCAGAAGAAGCACCGGCUAACUCCGUGCCAGCAGCCGCGGUAAUACGGAGGGUGCAAGCGUUAAUCGGAAUUACUGGGCGUAAAGCGCACGCAGGCGGUCUGUCAAGUCGGAUGUGAAAUCCCCGGGCUCAACCUGGGAACUGCAUUCGAAACUGGCAGGCUAGAGUCUUGUAGAGGGGGGUAGAAUUCCAGGUGUAGCGGUGAAAUGCGUAGAGAUCUGGAGGAAUACCGGUGGCGAAGGCGGCCCCCUGGACAAAGACUGACGCUCAGGUGCGAAAGCGUGGGGAGCAAACAGGAUUAGAUACCCUGGUAGUCCACGCCGUAAACGAUGUCGACUUGGAGGUUGUGCCCUUGAGGCGUGGCUUCCGGAGCUAACGCGUUAAGUCGACCGCCUGGGGAGUACGGCCGCAAGGUUAAAACUCAAAUGAAUUGACGGGGGCCCGCACAAGCGGUGGAGCAUGUGGUUUAAUUCGAUGCAACGCGAAGAACCUUACCUGGUCUUGACAUCCACAGAACUUUCCAGAGAUGGAUUGGUGCCUUCGGGAACUGUGAGACAGGUGCUGCAUGGCUGUCGUCAGCUCGUGUUGUGAAAUGUUGGGUUAAGUCCCGCAACGAGCGCAACCCUUAUCCUUUGUUGCCAGCGGUCCGGCCGGGAACUCAAAGGAGACUGCCAGUGAUAAACUGGAGGAAGGUGGGGAUGACGUCAAGUCAUCAUGGCCCUUACGACCAGGGCUACACACGUGCUACAAUGGCAUAUACAAAGAGAAGCGACCUCGCGAGAGCAAGCGGACCUCAUAAAGUAUGUCGUAGUCCGGAUUGGAGUCUGCAACUCGACUCCAUGAAGUCGGAAUCGCUAGUAAUCGUAGAUCAGAAUGCUACGGUGAAUACGUUCCCGGGCCUUGUACACACCGCCCGUCACACCAUGGGAGUGGGUUGCAAAAGAAGUAGGUAGCUUAACCUUCGGGAGGGCGCUUACCACUUUGUGAUUCAUGACUGGGGUGAAGUCGUAACAAGGUAACCG